UCUCUCGCUGCUCGUCUCUCAACCGAACAGGCCUCUCACAAUUUGUUUGAUGAGAGAAAGUUGCCGUCGAAAAGAAGAUUAUCAUUGAGGUUUCAGGAACAGCGUCUUCAUUAUCAUCGUCUUUCGAUCGAUUUCUGAUAAAUCAUAAUGGGAUUGAUGGCGCAGCCAUUGAUGGUUCCAAAUUCGAAUUUAGGGUUUCUACUUCUGCAGUACCCUAAAUUCCGUUAUGUUCUUCCACAGGAUUUGAGAGACCAAUCUUGUGGCCUAGCACCCUGAAUUUCGUUAUGUUCUUCCACAGGAUUGAGAGACCAAUCUUGUGGCCUUGAUUUUGAAGGAUUCACAUACAAAGUUUAUCAUGUUCUACUAGUUGUUUCUGCAUUGGGGCACCAUUGGAUGUAUUGAUUCCCUUCCUUUAGUGACAUUUAGGUGAUGCAUGCAUUUUUUAUGAGGAUUUCACUCUUUGGACAUUCAUAACCAAUUUGUGAAAGGCAAUGCUAGAUGCUUGAAAUUUUGCUAAGAAAUGCUUUUAUUUUAUGGAGAUUCUUGCAUUUGCAUUUAUCUGAAAAAAUCAUGAGAAUGUGGUUGGGUAGUGGCAUCCAAAGGCUGUAGAAUGGAAUCAUGGAAAAAAUUGAGAUUCUAGACUAUAUAACGGUUAGAAAGGCUGUAGAAUUGCAUUCGAUGAUGAAACGACUCUUCUCGUGUCACGGUGACUUGAGAGGGAGGCAAUGAGCAAUGCAAAAUCAAUUUUUAAGGAGGUACAUUAGUCCUUUCAACUCCCCCUUUGUGCUCAGAGCACUAAAUCAAAUAUGUGUGUUUUGCAAAACUUAUAUAUUGAAUCUGUGGUAUCACUGUACGUAUCAGCAUAAAAACUCUUGACGGCACCGGGUUUAUAUUGCCUUUAGAGCA